rnacentral:rRNA from 1 species
AUGUCCCUUCUUUGUCUCUGGGGCCGCCGCACGCUCGCCUGCCGGAGUGAACGUUGCUGCUCCCAUCGACGUCGUCAUUCCCACACCCGCCGCCGCGGCCUCCACACUCGACGCGAACAACACAGCAUGCAUCAUCUCCGCACGAGUGCUGCAACCUCUCCUUCUUCUUCUUUGGCGACCAUAUGCCGUCUUCUCCGGCGACACACGUCUGGCGUCCCUUCGGCGCCCCGCACGUCCCGCGCACACCCGACGCGCCCCGACGAGCCUGACCGCACCAGUGAGUCCCGCACGUCUCGCGCGCACCCGACGCACCCGACAAGCCCGACCGCACCGGUGCGUCCCGCACGUCCGCGCGCACCCGACGCGCCCGACGAGCCCGACCGCACCAAACGCUCACCGCGCGCCGCCUCCGCGUCCGCCAUGGUAGCCGCCAGCGACAAACGCCGGAAGGAUGUAGCCGAACUUGAGCAUGGACUCGAGCACAACGGCGACAUACGCCUCCUCCCAACGUCAACCACACGCUCGUACGCGCGCCCGCGGUCCCGACGCGCCCGACGCGUCCAGUGCGCAUCCAUAACAUGCACCAGUCGUGCCCGGCUCGCCGCCACGGCUUAUUGCCAUGUUGAUGUGUGUCGUUGA